rnacentral:rRNA from 1 species
AUAGUGAACCAGUACCGUGAGGGAAAGGCGAAAAGAACCCCGGCGAGGGGAGUGAAAAAGAACCUGAAACCGUGUACGUACAAGCAGUGGGAGCACGCUUAGGCGUGUGACUGCGUACCUUUUGUAUAAUGGGUCAGCGACUUAUAUUCUGUAGCAAGGUUAACCGAAUAGGGGAGCCGAAGGGAAACCGAGUCUUAACUGGGCGUUAAGUUGCAGGGUAUAGACCCGAAACCCGGUGAUCUAGCCAUGGGCAGGUUGAAGGUUGGGUAACACUAACUGGAGGACCGAACCGACUAAUGUUGAAAAAUUAGCGGAUGACUUGUGGCUGGGGGUGAAAGGCCAAUCAAACCGGGAGAUAGCUGGUUCUCCCCGAAAGCUAUUUAGGUAGCGCCUCGUGAAUUCAUCUCCGGGGGUAGAGCACUGUUUCGGCAAGGGGGUCAUCCCGACUUACCAACCCGAUGCAAACUGCGAAUACCGGAGAAUGUUAUCACGGGAGACACACGGCGGGUGCUAACGUCCGUCGUGAAGAGGGAAACAACCCAGACCGCCAGCUAAGGUCCCAAAGUCAUGGUUAAGUGGGAAACGAUGUGGGAAGGCCCAGACAGCCAGGAUGUUGGCUUAGAAGCAGCCAUCAUUUAAAGAAAGCGUAAUAGCUCACUGGUCGAGUCGGCCUGCGCGGAAGAUGUAACGGGGCUAAACCAUGCACCGAAGCUGCGGCAGCGACGCUGAUGCGUUGUUGGGUAGGGGAGCGUUCUGUAAGCCUGCGAAGGUGUGCUGUGAGGCAUGCUGGAGGUAUCAGAAGUGCGAAUGCUGACAUAAGUAACGAUAAAGCGGGUGAAAAGCCCGCUCGCCGGAAGACCAAGGGUUCCUGUCCAACGUUAAUCGGGGCAGGGUGAGUCGACCCCUAAGGCGAGGCCGAAAGGCGUAGUCGAUGGGAAACAGGUUAAUAUUCCUGUACUUGGUGUUACUGCGAAGGGGGGACGGAGAAGGCUAUGUUGGCCGGGCGACGGUUGUCCCGGUUUAAGCGUGUAGGCUGGUUUUCCAGGCAAAUCCGGAAAAUCAAGGCUGAGGCGUGAUGACGAGGCACUACGGUGCUGAAGCAACAAAUGCCCUGCUUCCAGGAAAAGCCUCUAAGCAUCAGGUAACAUCAAAUCGUACCCCAAACCGACACAGGUGGUCAGGUAGAGAAUACCAAGGCGCUUGAGAGAACUCGGGUGAAGGAACUAGGCAAAAUGGUGCCGUAACUUCGGGAGAAGGCACGCUGAUAUGUAGGUGAAGUCCCUCGCGGAUGGAGCUGAAAUCAGUCGAAGAUACCAGCUGGCUGCAACUGUUUAUUAAAAACACAGCACUGUGCAAACACGAAAGUGGACGUAUACGGUGUGACGCCUGCCCGGUGCCGGAAGGUUAAUUGAUGGGGUUAGCGCAAGCGAAGCUCUUGAUCGAAGCCCCGGUAAACGGCGGCCGUAACUAUAACGGUCCUAAGGUAGCGAAAUUCCUUGUCGGGUAAGUUCCGACCUGCACGAAUGGCGUAAUGAUGGCCAGGCUGUCUCCACCCGAGACUCAGUGAAAUUGAACUCGCUGUGAAGAUGCAGUGUACCCGCGGCAAGACGGAAAGACCCCGUGAACCUUUACUAUAGCUUGACACUGAACAUUGAGCCUUGAUGUGUAGGAUAGGUGGGAGGCUUUGAAGUGUGGACGCCAGUCUGCAUGGAGCCGACCUUGAAAUACCACCCUUUAAUGUUUGAUGUUCUAACGUUGACCCGUAAUCCGGGUUGCGGACAGUGUCUGGUGGGUAGUUUGACUGGGGCGGUCUCCUCCUAAAGAGUAACGGAGGAGCACGAAGGUUGGCUAAUCCUGGUCGGACAUCAGGAGGUUAGUGCAAUGGCAUAAGCCAGCUUGACUGCGAGCGUGACGGCGCGAGCAGGUGCGAAAGCAGGUCAUAGUGAUCCGGUGGUUCUGAAUGGAAGGGCCAUCGCUCAACGGAUAAAAGGUACUCCGGGGAUAACAGGCUGAUACCGCCCAAGAGUUCAUAUCGACGGCGGUGUUUGGCACCUCGAUGUCGGCUCAUCACAUCCUGGGGCUGAAGUAGGUCCCAAGGGUAUGGCUGUUCGCCAUUUAAAGUGGUACGCGAGCUGGGUUUAGAACGUCGUGAGACAGUUCGGUCCCUAUCUGCCGUGGGCGCUGGAGAACUGAGGGGGGCUGCUCCUAGUACGAGAGGACCGGAGUGGACGCAUCACUGGUGUUCGGGUUGUCAUGCCAAUGGCACUGCCCGGUAGCUAAAUGCGGAAGAGAUAAGUGCUGAAAGCAUCUAAGCACGAAACUUGCCCCGA